GAUGAACGCUGGCGGCGUGCCUAAUACAUGCAAGUCGAGCGAACAGACGAGGAGCUUGCUCCUCUGACGUUAGCGGCGGACGGGUGAGUAACACGUGGAUAACCUACCUAUAAGACUGGGAUAACUUCGGGAAACCGGAGCUAAUACCGGAUAAUAUAUUGAACCUCAUGGUUCAAUAGUGAAAGACGGUUUUGCUGUCAGUGAUAGAUGGAUCCGCGCCGCAUUAGCUAGUUGGUAAGGUAACGGCUUACCAAGGCAACGAUGCGUAGCCGACCUGAGAGGGUGAUCGACCACCCCAGAACUGAGACACGGUCCAGCCUCCUACUGGAGGCAGCAGUAGGGAAUCUUCCGCAAUGGGCGAAAGCUUGACGGAGCAACGCCGCGUGAGUGAUGAAGGUCUUCGGAUCGUAAAACUCUGUUAUUAGGGAAGAACCAAUGUGUAAGUAACUAUGCACGUCUUGACGGUACCUAAUCAGAAAGCCACGGCUAACUACGUG
rnacentral:rRNA from 1 species